UUUCAGGGCGACAGGCUUAUCUAGAGAACCCAAGUGGGUUGGCAACCUGAGAAAUCAUUUUCCCUUAAACCUGCAGUCAGGUCAUCCUUAUCUUUUACUAGUUCCUUGCACCCUGGCAAAAAACCUGCUAUUUUUGUCCCAGUAGAAAGCCAGGAUAAAGCCUGCUGGGCUGAAAACAUGCUAAGAAUCUGCUUUGUGCUAAUUUGUUUUUUGACAGAACCAGGUAGCCAAGCACAAGUGCACGGUUCUGCUGUACCUUGCAGGCCAGGAAGAGGUGCUGCCCACACAGUGAGCUGCCCAAAAGAAAAAUCCAUGUGGAAAUGUGGCUGACCCUUCCCAUUGCAUCUUGAUUUCUCCAAUACUCUGAAAAGGAAAUGCAUCUGGAACCAGAAGCAAACACUUUCUCUGAACAGCAUCCCUCCAAGAAUAUCCAGGAAAACAGAGGCUGUCAAAGCUGUGAGCCAAAUGACAACUCAGCUGGUUCUGACCCGUUGGGUUUCCUUCCACCUGAUAAGAAUUUGGUUGUCAAAAGAAAAUCUUACUCAGUAAGAUCCAAGUGGACAAAGAAGACUGGAGAACUUUUUUUUUUUUUUCCCCUCCUCCUAAGGGGUAUUUCAACCUUUAAGCAUUUGUCUAUGACCUAAAGUAGGAUUUGAAAAUGUUGAAAACUGUUGAAAUAAUGUAACUUCAUUGCAAUUUCUCCCACUGUGGACUUGAAAUAAUUAUUGUGAAAAUACAAUUUGCUUUUUUGUUGAA